UUUGCCUGUAGCGGCAUUGCAGGUAUGGCUGCUCUGUCACACAUGUGUGUGUCAGUAAGUGGCAGAAAGGAGAGAGGCUAUGUCUAUGUUCAGUGUUCUGACCUGUGAACAUAGGAAUGAUGAGUAGCCUAACGGG